rnacentral:rRNA from 1 species
AGAACGAACGCUGGCGGCAUGCCUAAUACAUGCAAGUCGAACGAACACUUCGGUGUUAGUGGCGCACGGGUGCGUAACGCGUGGGAAUCUGCCCUUGGGUUCGGAAUAACAGUUGGAAACGACUGCUAAUACCGGAUGAUAUCGAAAGACUACAAAGUAUUUAUCGACCCGAGGGAUGACGCCCGCGUAGGAUUAGCUAGUUGGUG